rnacentral:rRNA from 1 species
AACGAACGCUGGCGGCAUGCCUAACACAUGCAAGUCGAACGAUUGCCUUCGGGUGAUAGUGGCGCACGGGUGCGUAACGCGUGGGAAUCUGCCCUUAGGUUCGGAAUAACAGCUGGAAACGGCUGCUAAUACCGGAUGAUAUCGCGAGAUCAAAGAUUUAUCGCCUGAGGAUGAGCCCGCGUUGGAUUAGGUAGUUGGUGGGGUAAAGGCCUACCAAGCCGACGAUCCAUAGCUGGUCUGAGAGGAUGAUCAGCCACACUGGGACUGAGACACGGCCCAGACUCCUACGGGAGGCAGCAGUGGGGAAUAUUGGACAAUGGGCGCAAGCCUGAUCCAGCAAUGCCGCGUGAGUGAUGAAGGCCCAAGGGUUGUAAAGCUCUUUUACCCGGGAAGAUAAUGACUGUACCGGGAGAAUAAGCCCCGGCUAACUCCGUG